CAAGAUUUUAUGUCCCUUUAUUUUUCCACUUACAAUUUUCCCUGUUCAUGCAAGCCUUCAUUUAUCAUAGGUUUGCUGAUGGGGGUCCUCAGAUGGAGAACAGACAACAGUCUGCUUCUCAGCAGGCCAGGGUCACAUAACGAGAGGAGCAGAUGCCCAGAGAUCGCUUGACCAUUGAGAGACUUAAAGUGGUCAAAAAAUUAUAAGAUGGAGUUUUCAGAGACAUUUCCAUGACCUUGGUGCAACCGCUCGCCAUGCCGAGGGGUCUGCUCACACAAGCGAGGAAAGCAAUUGCUAACACAUCCAGUCAGUUCUCUGCGAGGAACAGAAGGACACUUUUCAGCACAUUUGCAAGUAUUGUUUGUCUUUUUUGAUCCUUUCAAGGGUAGACAGUAAUGUUUUUUUUUCUUGUUUUUGUACAGAAUAUUGGUGACAUGAAAGUUAUUCUUCUGACUGGGUUUGACUGGGUUUGACUGGGUGACAAUAAGCACUGAUAUCAACGUGUGACUACUUAUUGUUUUUUAGAGUGAAUAUAAAAUACAGCAUGUUAAUUUGGUCUGUCAGGGAAAACAGAACCAGAUUGUGUGAAAUGGUGUAAAAGUUUUGUUGUUUUGGUUGAAGAUUAGAUUUGUCUAUAGUUAUAUUCUAGGUGUAAAUAUCACAGACUGCUAAACAAUGAUUUAAUUACAUAUAUUUUUGGAUAGUAUAGUAUUAAGACUAAAAUGUGUAAUGAGUCAAUUGGGUGUAGGAUUUACUAAUAACUGGCUUUUUCCUGCUCCUUUGGAUGUGCCAUAUAACAUUAAAGUAGGGCUGUAACAAUUCCACAAAUGAUUUGAGUACCUUGAUUAUUAAAAUUUCUCAAUGCAAAUUAUCUGCCUCGAAGCUUCAUUAAAUUAUUAAAUUAUCUUUUACUAUUUAGUGCACUGUGUUC